rnacentral:rRNA from 1 species
UACGAAGGGGGCUAGCGUUGCUCGGAAUCACUGGGCGUAAAGCGCACGUAGGCGGCUCUUUAAGUCAGAGGUGAAAUCCUGGGGCUCAACCCCAGAACUGCCUUUGAUACUGAGGAGCUUGAGUCCGGGAGAGGUGAGUGGAACUGCGAGUGUAGAGGUGAAAUGCGUAGAUAUUCGCAAGAACACCAGUGGCGAAGGCGGCUCACUGGCCCGGUACUGACGCUGAGGUGCGAAAGCGUGGGGAGCAAACAGG